UAAGGAAUAUUGGUCAAUGGGCGGAAGCCUGAACCAGCCAUGCCGCGUGAAGGAAGAAGGUGCUCUGCAUCGUAAACUUCUUUUGUCAGGGAAGAAAAAGCGCUUGUGAGCGAAAUUGACGGUACCUGAUGAAUAAGCAUCGGCUAACUACGUG
rnacentral:rRNA from 1 species